CUUCACCGAGCCCAGCCACAGGGGCCGUCCCUCGGGGCGCUCCCUGCCGUAGGUGGCCAGCAGGGCCUGGGCCUC
rfam:Streptomyces albireticuli strain MDJK11, complete genome.